rnacentral:rRNA from 1 species
UGAACGCUAGCGGGAGGCCUUAAACAAGAAAGCCGAGCGGUAUUGUUUUUUUGGAAAUGAGAGAGCGGCGUACGGGUGCGGAACACGUGUGCAACCUGCCUUUAUUGGGGGAUAGCCUUUCGAAAAGGAAGAUUAAUACUCCAUAAUAUAUUGAUAGGCAUCAAUUAAUAUUGAAAGCUCCGGCGGAUAGAGAUGGGCACGCGCAAGAUUAGCUAGUUGGUGAGGUAACGGCUCACCAAGGCGAUGAUCUUUAGGGGGCCUGAGAGGGUGAUCCCCCACACUGGUACUGAGACACGGACCAGA